rnacentral:rRNA from 1 species
GACGAACUGUCCUAACGUUGUUCGGAAUCACUGGGCGUAAAGGGUGCGUAGGCGGGUCUUUAAGUCAGGGGGGAAAUCCUGGAGCUCAACUCCAGAACUGCCUUUGAUACUGAGGAUCUUGAGUUCGGGAGAGGUGAGUGGAACUGCGAGUGUAGAGGUGAAAUUCGUAGAUAUUCGCAAGAACACCAGUGGCGAAGGCGGCUCACUGGCCCGAUACUGACGCUGAGGCACGAAAGCGUGGGGAGCAAACAGG